CCUACGGGUGGCAGCAGUGAGGAAUAUUGGUCAAUGGGCGCGAGCCUGAACCAGCCAAGUCGCGUGAGGGAAGACGGUCCUAUGGAUUGUAAACCUCUUUUGUCGGGGAGCAAAAGACGCCACGCGUGGCGUUCCGAGAGUACCCGAAGAAAAAGCAUCGGCUAACUCCGUGCCAGCAGCCGCGGUAAUACGGAGGAUGCGAGCGUUAUCCGGAUUUAUUGGGGUUAAAGGGUGCGCAGGCGGAAGAUCAAGUCAGCGGUAAAAUUGGGAGGCUCAACCUCUUCGAGCCGUUGAAACUGGCAGUCUUGAGUGAGCGAGAGGUAUGCGGAAUGCGUGGUGUAGCGGUGAAAUGCAUAGAUAUCACGCAGAACUCCGAUUGCGAAGGCAGCAUACCGGCGCUCAACUGACGCUCAUGCACGAAAGUGUGGGUAUCGAACAGGAUUAGAUACCCCAGUAGUC
rnacentral:rRNA from 1 species